rnacentral:ncRNA from 1 species
ACUUUGGCCAUGACCGGGAGUAGUAAGCGGGGCAACUGUCCAGAGAGCUGUUGGCCGGUGCGAAACAGCACGGUAAGCCGCCCAACUCGCCCGGGAGCCGUACGGCUGACGUCUUGACCAGGCCGUACCGGGUAGCUCCGUUACAGGCUUUCAAGGGGAUAGGACCGUAAGGCCUGUCAAUUUGGGUGGUAACGCGGGAGCAUGCCUCUCGUCCCAUGA